rnacentral:misc_RNA from 1 species
AAAAAUCAAAAAAAACAAAAAAAACCAUUACAUAAUAAUAAAAAAAUCAAUUCAACAAAAAAAACUAACUAUCCUAAAUAUAUAUACACCCAAUACAAAAACACCCAAAUUCAUAAAACAAAUCCUUAAAAACCUACAAAAAAACUUAAACUCCCACACAAUAAUAAUAAAAAACUUUAACACCCCACUAUCAACAUUAAACAAAUCAACGAAACAAAAAAUUAACAAAAAUAUCCAAAAAUUAAACUCAACUCUACA